GGUGUUGGACGUCCCGGUCGCUGCAUUGGAGAAGGCGCUUAGGCAAAUCCGGCGCAGGAUUCAAGGGUGUGGCGCGAGCGACG
rnacentral:rRNA from 1 species